GGUCCAAACUCCUACGGGAGGCAGCAGUGAGGAAUAUUGGUCAAUGGACGAGAGUCUGAACCAGCCAAGUAGCGUGAAGGAUGAAGGUCCUACGGAUUGUAAACUUCUUUUAUAAGGGAAUAAACCCUCCCACGUGUGGGAGCUUGUAUGUACCUUAUGAAUAAGCAUCGGCUAACUCCGUGCCAGCAGCCGCGGUAAUACGGAGGAUGCGAGCGUUAUCCGGAUUUAUUGGGUUUAAAGGGUGCGUAGGCGGCACGCCAAGUCAGCGGUGAAAUUUCCGGGCUCAACCCGGACUGUGCCGUUGAAACUGGCGAGCUAGAGUGCACAAGAGGCAGGCGGAAUGCGUGGUGUAGCGGUGAAAUGCAUAGAUAUCACGCAGAACCCCGAUUGCGAAGGCAGCCUGCUAGGGUGCGACAGACGCUGAGGCACGAAAGCGUGGGUAUCGAACAGGAUUAGAUACCCUGGUAGUCCACGCAGUAAACGAUGAAUACUAACUGUUUGCGAUACAAUGUAAGCGGUACAGCGAAAGCGUUAAGUAUUCCACCUGGGGAGUACGCCGGCAACGGUGAAACUCAAAGGAAUUGACGGGGGCCCGCACAAGCGGAGGAACAUGUGGUUUAAUUCGAUGAUACGCGAGGAACCUUACCCGGGCUCAAACGCAGGGGGAAUGCCGGUGAAAGUCGGCAGCUAGCAAUAGUCACCUGCGAGGUGCUGCAUGGUUGUCGUCAGCUCGUGCCGUGAGGUGUCGGCUUAAGUGCCAUAACGAGCGCAACCCCUAUGGACAGUUACUAACGGGUGAAGCCGAGGACUCUGUCUAGACUGCCGGCGCAAGCCGCGAGGAAGGUGGGGAUGACGUCAAAUCAGCACGGCCCUUACGUCCGGGGCGACACACGUGUUACAAUGGCAGGUACAGAAGGCAGCCAGUCAGCAAUGACGCGCGAAUCCCGAAAACCUGUCUCAGUUCGGAUUGGAGUCUGCAACCCGACUCCAUGAAGCUGGAUUCGCUAGUAAUCGCGCAUCAGCCAUGGCGCGGUGAAUACGUUCCCGGGCCUUGUACACACCGCCCGUCAAGCCAUGGAAGCCGGGAGUACCUGAAGCAUGCAACCGCAAGGAGCGUACGAAGGUAAUACCGGUAACUGGGGCUAAGUCGUAACAAGGUAGCCGUACCGGAAGGUGCGGCUG
rnacentral:rRNA from 1 species